CUGUAAUAAGCACUUUAACCGACCCGUUUGGUUGGAUAUAAUUAGAGUAAACUUCAAAUACCACUAAGGUAGUUUUAUACUUUUUCACUUUAGUACUCUGUGGUUUAAAGUGUAUCAAAUUAGUAUCCUGUGAUUUUAUUAUUAUAUUUUUAUUAGCUUUUCUAUUAAUAUUUUGUUAAAUUAUAUAAAAAAAACUUCAGAUAUUCUAUCUAGGUUUAUCGAAUAUUUACUUCAGUACACUUUAGUUUUAACUUUGUCGCUAAUUUAACGAAAAAAGUUAGUAGAAUCGAUAAUAAAAAGAUAAAAAUAAAAUUACAUGGCAUUAAAUUGAUAUAUUUUAAAUUACAAGAUACUAAAGUGAAAAGGUGUGAAACUAAAGGGGUGAUAUUUGAAGUUUUUUUUUCUAAUUAUUAGCCCCUGGAU
rnacentral:lncRNA from 1 species